ACUCUUCCAGUACAAAAACUCCAUCAUCUUCUUCUUCAUCACUGCUUCUCUACCUCUCCACCUUCGAUCGGUUUGACCGGUCUGGUUUAAUUAUACUACAAAAUUUUGAAAAUUUCAGAAAGAAAACCGCACAAUUUGCCCAUCUCUAAAGAAACCCAACAAAUUUUCCAUUAAAUUAAAAAUCAAUUGCUUUUUUAUUUCUAAAAGACAAUAUUUUCAUACCAUUUUACCCUUUGCUAAUCAUUGUUUUUACAAAAUCGACCUGUAAGAAAUUUUAACCGACAAAACCUAAACCACAAAUCCACCUUCUCUCCCGCUGAUCUGCAACUCUCUUUUGCCGCUUCUCCCGUCUCUCCGGCCGAUGUGCUGAAAGCCUUCGCUACACUUGGAACAUCGAACCUCUCAAGUAAUUUAGAGGGAAUAACAUGCUCAUAGAGUAUUAAGAAACGGUCCCUGUUAUUUGUAGCGUCAUUCACUGCUCUAAUUGAGUGAGGACUUCACGACUGCAUCGUGUCAACCUAUUCCCUAGCCAUGAGCCUGUAAAGAUUUACAAAAACCUUGUAAGAACCAGUGAAGAGGCUUAAAUAAGUGUAAGGGAAUGUCUCUAGUCUUUUAAAUGACUUCUGAUUAUCUGUUGGACAAUAUGUUUAUUUCUUUCACUUUCUGAUGCUGCAUAUCACUGUUUGGGC